ensembl:lncRNA
AUGAUGAUAGCCUAUCAAAAGAUAAAAAAAGAUGUUAUACAAAAGUGUUUUUCUCGAAGGCCCUGCUUAAAGUGGACAGCAGGAGCAUUAAUCAUAGCCACGACUGCAGACAAACAAGGAAACUCACUCUUCGACCACGGCAACAAGACAGUCGCCUCUGCCCUGUGCUGCGGUCUUAAUGAAAGCUUUAUCUUGUUAAAGCACCAGCAAAACCAGCCUCUGAGUCGAUCAGCUCCUCUUUGGCCCCUGAAAGCUGUAAUGUCUUGUAGAACUUGUGUGAAUAUUCUACGUCGGGCCACCCUGUCUUUUUCUCUGCAUGUCUGUUUUGUGGUUUCACUGAUUCUGCACUCAGGUUAAAGGCCAUUUUCCCAUGCUGCUCAAAAACUUCAGCUCAAACGAGAUGUACCGCAAUGAGAGUUAAAAGGACAUCAAAAUUGGUCUGCUGUCAUCAAGGGUCUGUCUUAACCCUAUUUGCCUUUCUCCGACCGAUCUAUCAGCGAGGUCUGAUCAAAAAGGGAUACCGUGUCUUCCAGCAUUCCUUAUUCGUUGGGAUGAGUGUCCCUGACUGUCCCUCUGCCACCACUUCCUGUCAGCCAAGCCUGAAACAAAGACCUUCUCUAUCUAACUCCUUUUCUGAUCCUCCUCUCUCGCUCUCUCUCUAUAAGACUGAGAAUUGGGCAUGAAAUGCAACACAUAUUUAUGAGAUUAUCUACUGUCUCAUGUUUCAUUUCCAUGUACGAAAGGAGAACAUUUUUCAUUUCCUCUGAGUGAAAACGUGAAAAGGACAAAAUGAUUUCGGUGCUGUUGUUGUCCUCAGAUCUCCAAGGGGACGUUAAUUCACAUCGAUCUUGUUUUGAACUAAGGCACUUCCCCUCCAAUACCAUUAGAAUGAUAACAGCCUAAAAUAAUUCUCCAUCCCACCUCCCUCCCAACGCGUACGUGCAAACACUCGCACACAAACAAUCUGUAUAGAGAUAAUCCCAAGAGAUGGAUGCGCACAAAAACAGCCCAAAAUGAAAAGGUCACUGAAUUCUAAGCCGAUUCAAAAUGAAGCAAGUGAGGUUGUCAGCACGAAAUGCAGCACAAGACUUCUUUGUCUCCUAAACAGCCAAAAGUCGACACAAGAGGAGUGAUCAGAGGAGGACUCUGCGAGGGGGAAACGUGCCCUGAAGCAGAAGCAAGAGAUAGCAGAAAGGCCUAAAUUGUUUCUUUGAGCUUUACUUUGCAAAAAAAAAAACCAUGACGUAAAAACAUUUUUUAACAUGUGUAACCAUCCCAAUCAACUGUUUGCUUGCUCUAACUCCUCCCUUUUUGCAACAGUCGGAUGCAAAAAAAAAAAAGAAAACUGCAUAUGAAUGGAUGUACACACGGGUGUAUUCCAUGUAGCCAUUAACCUGAGAGGUCAAGUAAGAGGGAGGAU